rnacentral:rRNA from 1 species
AUUGAACGCUGGCGGCAGGCCUAACACAUGCAAGUCGAGCGGAUGAAGGAAGCUUGCUCCUGGAUUCAGCGGCGGACGGGUGAGUAAUGCCUAGGAAUCUGCCUGGUAGUGGGGGAUAACGUCCGGAAACGGGCGCUAAUACCGCAUACGUCCUGAGGGAGAAAGUGGGGGAUCUUCGGACCUCACGCUAUCAGAUGAGCCUAGGUCGGAUUAGCUAGUUGGUGGGGUAAAGGCCUACCAAGGCGACGAUCCGUAACUGGUCUGAGAGGAUGAUCAGUCACGCUGGAACUGAGACACGGUCCAGACUCCUACGGGAGGCAGCAGUGGGGAAUAUUGGACAAUGGGCGAAAGCCUGAUCCAGCCAUGCCGCGUGUGUGAAGAAGGUCUUCGGAUUGUAAAGCACUUUAAGUUGGGAGGAAGGGCAGUAAGUUAAUACCUUGCUGUUUUGACGUUACCAACAGAAUAAGCACCGGCUAACUUCGUG